GACGAACGCUGGCGGCGUGCUUAACACAUGCAAGUCGAACGGAAAGGCCCUGCUUUUGUGGGGUGCUCGAGUGGCGAACGGGAGAGUAACAAGUGAGUAACCUGCCCUGGACUUGGGGAUAACAUGAGGAAACUGGGGCUAAUACCGGCUAGGAGUUCAUGCUGCAUGGCGGGGGUUGGAUAGUCUCGGUGGUUGGGGAUGGAUGCGGGGCUUAUCAGCUUGUUGGUGGGGUAGUGGAUUCUCAAGGCUUUGACGGGUCGACGACCUGGGAGGGUGACCGGCCACAUUGGGCCUGAGAUGCGGCCCAGACUCCUACGGGAGGCAGCGGUGGGGAAUAUUGCACAAUGGGCUGAGGGCUGAUGCAACAACGCCGCGUGCGGUAUAGCAGCCUUCGGGUUGUAAACCGCUUUCGCCUGUUACGAAGCGUGUGUGACGGUAAUUGAUAAAUAAGCACCGGCUAACUACGUG
rnacentral:rRNA from 1 species